AGCGAACGCUGGCGGCAGGCCUAACACAUGCAAGUCGAACGGAUCCUUCGGGAUUAGUGGCGUACGGGUGAGUAGCACGUGGGAACGUGCCCUUUGGUUCGGAACAACUCAGGGAAACUUGAGCUAAUACCGGAUGCGCCCUUCGGGGGAGAGAUUUAUCGCCAUUGGAGCGGCCCGCGUCUGAUUAGCUAGUUGGUGAGGUAAAGGCCCACCAAGGCGACGAUCAGUAGCUGGUCUGAGAGGAUGAGCAGCCACAUUGGGACUGAGACACGGCCCACACCCCUACGGGAGGCAGCAGUGGGGAAUCUUGCGGAAUGGGCGAAAGCCUGACGAGGCCAUGCCGCGUGAAUGAUGAAGGUCUUAGGAUUGUAAAAUUCUUUCACCGGGGACGAUAAUGACGGUACCCGGAGAAGAAGCCCCGGCUAACUUCGUGCCAGCAGCCGCGGUAAUAC
rnacentral:rRNA from 1 species